GGCCCCGUGGUGUAGCUGGUUAGCAUAUUUGCCUGUCACGCAAAAGGUCGCGAGUUCAAAUCUCGUCGGGGUCG
rnacentral:tRNA from 1 species